rnacentral:rRNA from 1 species
AGUGAACGCUGGCGGUAGGCCUAACACAUGCAAGUCGAACGGCAGCACAGUAAGAGCUUGCUCUUACGGGUGGCGAGUGGCGGACGGGUGAGGAAUACAUCGGAAUCUACUUUUUCGUGGGGGAUAACGUAGGGAAACUUACGCUAAUACCGCAUACGACCUACGGGUGAAAGCAGGGGAUCUUCGGACCUUGCGCGAUUGAAUGAGCCGAUGUCGGAUUAGCUAGUUGGCGGGGUAAAGGCCCACCAAGGCGACGAUCCGUAGCUGGUGUGAGAGGAUGAUCACCCACACUGUAACUGAGACACGGUCCACACUCCCACGGGUGCAAGCAGGGGGGAAUUGUGGACAAGGGGUCCAAGCUGGACCCACCCAUACCGCGGGGGAAAAAAAGGCUUGGUGUUUGAAAGCCCUUUUUGUGGGGAAAAAAAACCAGCAGUUUAAUACCCCGCUGUUCGAAGGGUACCCAAAAAAAAACACCCGACAAACUUGGCC